UUGUAGUACGAGAGGAGACAUGCUUAACACUCCCGUAGACAAGGAUGGAACACAUAUAUAAAUGGUUAGGUGAGAUUAUUUUCAUAAAAAAUGAAUUUUU
rnacentral:ncRNA from 13 species